CCUACGGGAGGCAGCAGUAAGGAAUAUUGGUCAAUGGACGCAAGUCUGAACCAGCCAUGCCGCGUGAAGGAUUAAGGUCCUCUGGAUUGUAAACUUCUUUUAUUUGGGACGAAAAAGGGCCUUUCUAGGUCAACUGACGGUACCAGAUGAAUAAGCACCGGCUAACUCCGUGCCAGCAGCCGCGGUAAUACGGAGGGUGCAAGCGUUAUCCGGAUUCACUGGGUUUAAAGGGUGCGUAGGCGGGUAGGUAAGUCAGUGGUGAAAUCCUGGAGCUCAACUCCAGAACUGCCAUUGAUACUAUUUAUCUUGAAUAUUGUGGAGGUAAGCGGAAUAUGUCAUGUAGCGGUGAAAUGCUUAGAUAUGACAUAGAACACCUAUUGCGAAGGCAGCUUACUACGCAUAUAUUGACGCUGAGGCACGAAAGCGUGGGGAUCAAACAGGAUUAGAUACCCUGGUAGUCCACGCCCUAAACUAUANAUACUACACAUNUGUAUACACAUAAUAGU
rnacentral:rRNA from 1 species